rnacentral:rRNA from 1 species
CCUGGCUCAGAAUGAACGCUGGCGGCGUGCCUAACACAUGCAAGUCGUACGAGAAAGGGGCUUCGGCCCUGAGUAGAGUGGCGCACGGGUGAGUAACGCGUGGGUAAUCUACCCUUGGAUUUCGGAUAACUCUGCGAAAGUGGAGCUAAUACCGGAUAGUCUGGCUUUAAAUAAGAAGUCGGUAAAGGAUGCCUCUGCAUAUGCAUUCGUCCGAGGAUGAGCCCGCGUCUCAUUAGCUAGUUGGUAGGGUAAUGGCCUACCAAGGCAACGAUGAGUAGCUGGUCUGAGAGGAUGAUCAGCCACACUGGAACUGAAACACGGUCCAGACUCCUACGGGAGGCAGCAGUGGGGAAUAUUGCGCAAUGGGCGAAAGCCUGACGCAGCAACGCCGUGUGAGGGAUGAAGGCUUUCGGGUCGUAAACCUCUGUCGGAAGGGAAGAACGGGCAUUGGUCUAAUAGGCCUUUGUUUUGACGGUACCUUUAGAGGAAGCACCGGCUAACUCCGUGCCAGCAGCCGCGGUAAUACGGAGGGUGCAAGCGUUAUUCGGAAUUACUGGGCGUAAAGCGCACGUAGGCGGCCUUGUAAGUCAGGGGUGAAAUCCCACGGCUCAACCGUGGAACUGCCUUUGAAACUGCAGGGCUUUAAUCCUGGAGAGGGUGGCGGAAUUCCUGGUGUAGGAGUGAAAUCCGUAGAUAUCAGGAGGAACACCGGUGGCGAAGGCGGCCACCUGGACAGUUAUUGACGCUGAGGUGCGAAAGUGUGGGGAGCAAACAGGAUUAGAUACCCUGGUAGUCCACACCGUAAACGAUGGAUACUAGGUGUCGGGGACUUGAU